rnacentral:rRNA from 1 species
CCCUUAGAUGUUCUGGGCUGCACGCGCGCUACACUGAAGCGUUCAACGAGUAUUUCACCUUGCCCGGGAGGGUUGGGUAAUCUUUUUAAAAUGCAUCGUGAUGGGGAUAGAUUAUUGCAAUUAUUAAUCUUCAACGAGGAAUUCCUAGUAAGCGCGAGUCAUCAGCUCGUGCUGAUUACGUCCCUGCCCUUUGUACACACCGCCCGUCGCUCCUACCGAUUGAGUGCUCAGGUGAAUAAUUCGGACUGCAGCAAUGUUUGGAUCCCGAACGUUGCAGCGGAAAGUUUAGUGAACCUUAUCACUUAGAGGAAGGAGAAGUCGUAACA